UCUAUACAACCUAAUAAAAGCCUUAAUUAGGGGACACAUGUCCACCUACUAGGGCCUCCAUAGCUCAUUUUCCCGCCAAAAUGGACAUCUCCUCAUAUUCCUUGAGAUGACCCGACACGGGAUCCAUAUUAGCAAUUCGGGUCCUUUUUUUUCGUUCCAUAUAUAAACAAAGAACCCGUCCUUUUGUUUCCCAUUUUCAUCUUCUCCAAUACGGCAACUCCGAUUAGGGUUUCAUCUUCUUCUAUACGCUUCCAACUCACAACAGUCUACUUUCUCCCCAAAUCUUCUAGGUAAGAUUCCAAAUCUGUAAUCGUCGACUGGAAAUCUUCAACAACAAGGUUAGAUUACGAUUUCUUUCUGUUAAUCAUGUUUAUUUCUCUAUUCUUCAUCUUCUCACAUACGGUUUGUUCGAUUAGGGUUUUUUUUUGUUCUUUCUCUUCCUCAUCGCAAUCGAUCCUAAAUCUCUUUAGAAACAACUGGAAGCAGCCAAGCAACUAGGUUAAUUUUUCUCGAUCUAUGAUGUUUUAAACAUUGUUUCAUGAUUCGUGGUUUAUCUUUCUCCUUCAACGGCAAUGGAUUGGAAAUCAGGGUUCUUCGAUCUCGGGUUUAGGGUUUCGUGUUAACCAGGUAACUUCCUGGUCUGACUCAUUUGUGUUUCAUCCAGAUCCAACAGGACUCAAGGCGCUUAAUCUAUCUGAAACAACGAUUGAGGGAGAAAGCUCUUGAAAAGGCACGUUUUAAACAAUUUGACAAAUAAUCCGGCGUGUGUUAGUUUCGUACCGCGACUUUGAAGACAUCUUUAUGUUGAUUAUUUUAUCAGGUCUUUGAGGGAUGAGGUUCGGAUAUUCGAAGAACUUCCCUCUAGGCUUAAAAGACGCGUUGAGCUUGGGAAAUUUCGUUCUUUAGCACUGAUAUUGGUCUACUAUUUCUUAAUAUUGUAACCAGAUUCUUCUUCUUAUGCGGAAGUGUGAAGUUGUACGUUUAAACAGAACCGACACCCAUCUUGCCAACAAUGGGUUCCCUUUAGAGAUUCAAAAACUGAGGUAUGCGUAUUCAUGGUGGAAAGAGAAAAAUUGAUUUUGAUCUAAAGAGGAAACAAGGGUUGUGUCUUAUGACACCAAAAGAAAAGAGAAAUCAAAGGAUACUCAACAAAGUACUCUACAAGGCAAAGAUCUAUCACAUACAGAGAGCCUAAUUAACACUUUGGAAAUUGCUUCAAAAAAUCCCUCAAGAGUAUAUGGAGCUGUGGAAGCCGGUUUGCUGGACAUCUCACCCUCAAAGUUAAGCAGUUAGAUGUGAAGCGUGAGACCAAAAACGAAGGUUUUUUUUAUCUCCAUUUAAAUCACAUGGCCUUAAUAAGGUGAUGAUAGAAUCUGUUUUUUCAUAUGAAUUUAUUUUGGCUAUAAGUAUGGGUUAGGAAAAUUUAGGUGACGGCAUGCUUUUCUUUUUUUAUAUUCAUGAAACAAAU
rnacentral:lncRNA from 1 species